UACAGAGGUGGCAAGCGUUGUUCGGAAUUACUGGGCGUAAAGGGCGCGUAGGCGGCCUACUAAGUCAGACGUGAAAUCCCCCGGCUUAACCUGGGAACUGCGUCUGAUACUGGAAGGCUUGAGGAUGGGAGAGGGAUGUAGAAUUCCAGGUGUAGUGGUGAAAUGCGUAGAUAUCAAGAGGAACACCGGUGGCGAAGGCGGCUCUCUGGUCCAAUCCUGACGCUGAGGUGCGAAAGCUAGGGGAGCAAACGGG
rnacentral:rRNA from 1 species